AGAGUUUGAUCCUGGCUCAGGACGAACGCUGGCGGCACGCUUAACACAUGCAAGUCGAACGAGAGAAGAGGAGCUUGCUUUUCUGAUCUAGUGGCGGACGGGUGAGUAACACGUGAGCAAUCUGCCUUUCAGAGGGGGAUACCGAUUGGAAACGAUCGUUAAUACCGCAUAACAUAAUUGAACCGCAUGAUUUGAUUAUCAAAGAUUUAUCGCUGAAAGAUGAGCUCGCGUCUGAUUAGCUAGUUGGUAAGGUAACGGCUUACCAAGGCGACGAUCAGUAGCCGGACUGAGAGGUUGAUCGGCCACAUUGGGACUGAGACACGGCCCAGACUCCUACGGGAGGCAGCAGUGGGGAAUAUUGCACAAUGGAGGAAACUCUGAUGCAGCGAUGCCGCGUGAGGGAAGAAGGUUUUAGGAUUGUAAACCUCUGUCUUCAGGGACGAAAAAAGACGGUACCUGAGGAGGAAGCUCCGGCUAACUACGUGCCAGCAGCCGCGGUAAUACGUAGGGAGCGAGCGUUGUCCGGAAUUACUGGGUGUAAAGGGAGCGUAGGCGGGAUCGCAAGUCAGAUGUGAAAACUAUGGGCUUAACCCAUAAACUGCAUUUGAAACUGUGGUUCUUGAGUGAAGUAGAGGUAAGCGGAAUUCCUAGUGUAGCGGUGAAAUGCGUAGAUAUUAGGAGGAACAUCAGUGGCGAAGGCGGCUUACUGGGCUUUAACUGACGCUGAGGCUCGAAAGCGUGGGGAGCAAACAGGAUUAGAUACCCUGGUAGUCCACGCCGUAAACGAUGAUUACUAGGUGUGGGGGGACUGACCCCUUCCGUGCCGCAGCAAACGCAAUAAGUAAUCCACCUGGGGAGUACGACCGCAAGGUUGAAACUCAAAGGAAUUGACGGGGGCCCGCACAAGCAGUGGAGUAUGUGGAUUAAUUCGAAGCAACGCGAAGAACCUUACCAGGUCUUGACAUCGUAUGCAUAGCUCAGAGAUGAGUGAAAUCUCUUCGGAGACAUAUAGACAGGUGGUGCAUGGUUGUCGUCAGCUCGUGUCGUGAGAUGUUGGGUUAAGUCCCGCAACGAGCGCAACCCUUACUGUUAGUUGCUACGCAAGAGCACUCUAGCAGGACUGCCGUUGACAAAACGGAGGAAGGUGGGGAUGACGUCAAAUCAUCAUGCCCCUUAUGACCUGGGCCUCACACGUACUACAAUGGCUGUCAACAGAGGGAAGCAAAGCCGCGAGGUGGAGCGAACCCCUAAAAGCAGUCUUAGUUCGGAUUGUAGGCUGCAACCCGCCUACAUGAAGUCGGAAUUGCUAGUAAUCGCAGAUCAGCAUGCUGCGGCGAAUACGUUCCCGGGCCUUGUACACACCGCCCGUCACGCCAUGGGAGUCGGUAACACCCGAAGCCUGUAGUCUAACCGCAAGGAGGACGCAGUCGAAGGUGGGAUUGAUGACUGGGGUGAAGUCGUAACAAGGUA
rnacentral:rRNA from 1 species